UACGUAGGGUGCGAGCGUUAAUCGGAAUACUGGGCGUAAAGCGUGCGCAGGCGGUUCUAUAAGACAGAUGUGAAAUCCCCGGGCUCAACCCUGGGAACUGCAUUUGUGACUGUAGAGCUGGAGUACGGCAGAGGGGGAUGGAAUUCCGCGUGUAGCAGUGAAAUGCGUAGAUAUGCGGAGGAACACCGAUGGCGAAGGCAAUCCCCUGGGCCUGUACUGACGCUCAUGCACGAAAGCGUGGGGAGCAAACAGG
rnacentral:rRNA from 1 species